UUGCCCCCAGCACGAUUGAUUAGUUCCAAAUUUAGCAGCCCACUCGAGAAAAUUAAAUAAAAAAGGAGAGAAACACUUGCUUAAUAUAGAAGUUUCUUUUUGGAAGAAAAUAAAAAUAGUGAAGCCCCCUUUUUGAGCUUGUUGACAUUAUAAAAGCCAAAGCUGGACCACGAUUCCCCACUUCUAUCAAUGUAAUCUAUUUUUUCUUAAGAACAUAAAAAGAUUUUUAAAUAAAUUGAUGGGAAUCGUUUUGUUUUUUAUAUUUAUACUACUAUCAAACAGUAUAAAAAACAAAAUGUACACAACAACAUUGAGAAACUAAUGGGGUCUCACGUGUCCAUGUUC